rnacentral:lncRNA from 1 species
CUCCUUGAAAUAUGAACUAGAACCACUGAACAACAACUAAUUUUCCUCAAAUCAAUACCUAUACUAUAAAUAGGAUACUCCAGUCCCUCAAAAUACAAACUAUAUAAAUAAAAUAUCGGCAAAUCAACAUUUCCUUUCUUUACAACCAACAAUUCUCAAAUAUACUAAAAACGUCAAAUAUGUAGUAAACCCAUGAUAACCUUUUCUGACAUAAACUACAUAUAACUCAAAGAAACAUGUACUACAUAGUCUAGUAAAGUAGGCCAUAGAACCUAUGACGUGUGACUCAAUAUGGCGGAACAACGGCUCCAAAGCUGCUCAAUUCAGCUGAUAUCUGAUAAGAAAAAAGAUGAAAAGACAUAUGAGCUUAUAGCUCAGUGAGUGGAUAAUUUGCGAAUAAAUAUACUUUUUCC